rnacentral:rRNA from 1 species
CCCAGUUCGGAUUGUAGACUGCAACCCGUCUGCAUGAAGCUGGAAUCGCUAGUAAUCGCGGAUCAGAAUGCCGCGGUGAAUACGUUCCCGGGUCUUGUACACACCGCCCGUCACACCAUGGGAGUUGGAAAUGCCCGAAGUCAGUGGCCCAACCGUAAGGAGGGAGCUGCCGAAGGCAGGUCCGGUAACCGGGGUGAAGUCGUAACAAGGUACC